AUUGAACGCUGGCGGCAUGCCUUACACAUGCAAGUCGAACGGUAACGCGGGGAAACCUGGCGACGAGUGGCGAACGGGUGAGUAAUGCAUCGGAACGUGCCCGGUAGUGGGGGAUAACUGCUCGAAAGAGCAGCUAAUAUCGCAUACGACCUGAGGGUGAAAGGGGGGGAUCGCAAGACCUCUCGCUAUCGGAGCGGCCGAUGUCGGAUUAGCUAGUUGGUGGGGUAAAGGCCUACCAAGGCAACGAUCCGUAGCUGGUCUGAGAGGACGACCAGCCACACUGGGACUGAGACACGGCCCAGACUCCUACGGGAGGCAGCAGUGGGGAAUUUUGGACAAUGGACGCAAGUCUGAUCCAGCCAUGCCGCGUGCGGGAAGAAGGCCUUCGGGUUGUAAACCGCUUUUGUCAGGGAAGAAAUCUUCUGGGUUAAUACCUCGGGAGGAUGACGGUACCUGAAGAAUAAGCACCGGCUAACUACGUGCCAGCCGCCGCAGUAAAAC
rnacentral:rRNA from 1 species